rnacentral:lncRNA from 1 species
UGCGACUCAACCGCCGUUUUCUUUUUGAUCAGCUAGAAGAACUUUUGUUUUUUAUAAUACCAGUGUUUUUCUGUUCUUGCAUAACAAAGAUAUAAUCUAAUCUCCAAGGUUUAUUUGUCAAAAGAAUCACUAGAUCUGGAAAGGAGCAAGGGUUUGAAUUUUUAUUAAUUUGGGAUGCAAGUUCACCUGAGAUUUAAUAUGCAGGUAUCUCAUAGGAGUCUUUUCAAAAUAAAAGCUUAACUAAGGGAAAGUUCAUAGACUUUUUUCAACCAGCGAACUUACAAGAUUUAGUUGCCCAAAUGAAGGGGUUUCUUUGUGCAGACUGUGAAUCGAAUAGGAACAAACAAGUUUCAAGUAGGAUGAAACUCCGGGGCUUUGCAUGUCAGACCGAGUUCUGCAGUUAGGUCAGCACUGGGUUAUUGAGUUUCUAAGGCUGAGGAUGCCCGUGCUAGUGUACAGUCUUCCAGAUAAGGAAAAGAAAAUUGCACCUGGAGGCAACAAGAAGAGUCAAGAGUAAUUU